rnacentral:rRNA from 1 species
AGAACGAACGCUGGCGGCGUGCCUAACACAUGCAAGUCGAACGAGAAAGUGGAGCAAUCCACGAGUAAAGUGGCGCAACGGGUGAGUAACACGUGACUAACCUACCUUUUAGUGGGGGAUAACCUAAGGGAAACCUGGCGUAAUAACCGCAUUAAUACCUACGGGUCAAAGACAGCGAAUGCGCUGAAAGAGGGGGUCGCGGCCGAUUAGCAGUUGGCGGGUAAUGGCCCACCAAGGCGAUGAUCGGUUAUCCGGCCUGAGAGGGCGCACGGACACACUGGAACUGAAACACGGGUCCAGACUCCUAC